rnacentral:lncRNA from 1 species
UUUUUUUUUUUUUUUUUUUUUUGGCUGUUAUUUAUAUGGGGUAUUUUCUUUGGCUUGAACAUAUAUUAGAGAGUUACAAUGAUUCGUACCAAAUUGUUUCUUGAUCAUAAAUAUGAGAAGAGUAGGAAACGGCUGUCAAAUAAAAUAAGCUGGUUUUGUGAUAUGGUUGUAUUUGUGUGUUAAUACAGUGAAUUUUUCCCCCAAGAUCUCAAGGUUGGGUUCAUGUGGAAGGAAAACAUGGGGCACUGCUGCCAUCUAGCGUCCACUAUUUCUUGUUUGGCGUUUGCAGAGAGAUCAGUGGUCCCUGUGUUUCACUUCUCUUACCUCCUGUGGUUCCCUGCCUGCAUUUUGAACCUCCUCCAGAACACUCUUGCGCCCUCCCUGCAGUCAGGCUGCAGCUUGAGCCUAUUAUUAGGCAACUGCAAGCUCCCCAGACACACACAUCCACACUUUGAUUUUUAAAUGAUUGUGAAAGCCUUAAUCUGUAUCAGAAGUCCAGUACGUGUUACUUAGAGCAGUAUUAACCAAAUGGGGUUAGAGUGAGUGAGGGACCCAGGACGUCACACCAGGAAGUUCUGUGGCCACUUCUCUGCCGGGGUCUGUGCUGCCUGGAGCAUCAUACUUCCGUACUUGUGUACUGACUACAUUCUCCAUCCUGGGCAUCACACUCUCCAGUCUCAGGACCUGGCUACGCAACACUAGAAAUACCCUUGGCGCUCAGGACCAACCAGAGAGUUGAGCAGUGCGAUGAUUAAAGGCAAAGAGGUGCUGACGUCCUGGAAGGGAUAAUGACCUCCCUAAAUACAGGUAGCCACUAGUUUAAGACAAGGUUGGAGAAAUGACAACGUAAACAUCUGAGAAGUGCAGUCGCUGAAGCGGGAGAGUAUAUUUUAAAUGGAAUUGUCUGAGGAGGGUACAGAAAAUAUGAACAUGAUACUUGAGAUAAAAUUAGAAAAUUUUAAAACAUGCACAAAUGAGAAUGCUAAUUAGCUAGAAAAGCUGUACAUGUGCGAAAAUCUUAGAAAAUAUGGUGUGUUGUCAUGAUGGCUAAAUGUGACAUUAUUUGGUUUGUUUAAUGUCACAUAUGAAAAAAAACUGAUGGCAACCAAAGAAUUGGGGAAAAGUAUUUCCUUGACAGAGGGGUCAGUAUUAGAGCCACGCAAUUUAUGUCUCCAGCACUGCAGCGCCUACCGUGGGUGAGCAGAAGUGUGAGAGAGCUUAAGGAAUAAAAGCAGAAGUCAAAACAGUCACAUUUUGUUUACAAAGACAUUUUAUACGUAACUUCAUUGAAACCAUGCUUGUCUUUAUCACUCCCACUUCCAACGGUAAGGACAUGGUUUUGAGAAACCAGGGGACUUGAAAAGGGGUCACAUCGGACUGAGGGCCAGAAUGUGCGUGACACUCAAACCUUUUGCUGCAUCAAUAUUUAAAAACCAAGCCCUCCCACCCGUUGCUGACUGAAAAACAUACCUGGACUCCAAGGUUCCAACACACAUGGCGCUACGCCCCCAGGGUGGCAUGAUAAAAGAACAGAGAGACACCUCUAUAGAAGACUCCACUCAACAGCAGCAGAAUGCACACUCCUUUCAAGUACACAUGGAGCGUUCUCCAGGACAGACCAUUUCCUAAGCCAUUAAACAAACAAACAAACAAGAAACUAUGAACGUUUGCAACUCUUUAUUUAGGUAAAUUGAGAUUUACUUAACUAUCCUCAUUGACUGGAUUUAUAAGUAGAUGUUAAUCAUCUUCCCAUUUUUAUAAAAUAAAUUAACAGCUUUCACAUGUAUACUAUACACACACAUGGAUAUAUAAAUGACAUUAAAAUGCAGCAAACUAACAUGAUAAAUUGAGCUGUCAAGGGACGGCCCACACUAGGAAUGAUCCACUGGGAGGAAUGACAACACUGCAGAUUCUCUCCUUUCACAAUUACGUAGCCAAAUGGAGGGUCACUGCAGGCGUCAGCAUGUAUCACGAUGACCUGGAAG